CCACAGCGCCCUGGUAAUUUGGACAAAUAUUCUGGAUGUUUCUGCGAAGGUGUUUUUUGGAUGGGAUUAACAUUUAAAUCAGUGGACUUUGACUAAAGCAGAUUACCUUUCCCCAAUGUGGGUGGGCCUUAUCCAAUCAUUUGAAGGCCUGGAAAGAGCAGAAGGCUGACCUCCCCUGAGCGAGAAGGAAUUCGGGCCCCCAACUGCCUUUGGACUGGAACCGCAGCUCGUCCCUGAGUGUCCAGCCUGCCGGCCUCUCCCAUCAGAUUUUGGACUCGUUGAGCUUCCGCAAUCGAAUGUUGUGAACAUCUGCCCUCAUUCAGCCUCGUCAUCCUCACUCUGGAAGGUAGACUGGGCCCCAUUAACUACGAAGAGAGCAACGGAAACGAGGGAAGAAGCGCGUCAGUCCCUCCCACCACAUCUACGCGGUCUUCUCUCUCCUCCAAGGCCAGAGGAAGACAUUUACUGUUUGCUGAAUUAGAAAUCAGACGGAAAACCAUCCCAGGCUUUGAGUGCUCAAAGACAUGAUCCAGAAGUCAAGCCUUUCUUCCCAUUCUAUUAUACCCUUCUCAGGAUCAGGCACCAAGUUCAGAAUAAUACAACUGAUGAGGUAUUUUACACCAAAACCCAUCCUUAGCUGUUCUCCUAGAUGCCCGCUAGCACCUGACUCAGUGUGACCUCACAAGCAAAGGUAGGGAGGGGUGUGUGUUAGCAAUAAUUAUAAUAGGUAUGCUUCAUGUAUGUUUCAUGAGAUCAACAGUAAACUGUCUUGUAGUUUAGGCUCACGACACAGGGAAAGUUGUCAAGUCAAAGAAGCUCAAGUUACUUUAGGUUUACCUUUUACUACUAUAGGAAAUGGUAUCUCUUUUCAAGCAUUGUAGUGAUAGCAUUCAUGUUUAUGGGUGUAAGGGCUAGUGAAGUGGCUGUUUUAGUUUUUAGGAUUUUAUUUAUUUGU